GGGUCGUUAGUUCACUCGUCCGAAGGAUUGGUAGAGCAGUUGACUUUUAAUCAAUUGGUCGCUGGUUCGACAAAACUGUAGGGAACAGUUUUGAACAUGCGCAGCAUGGCCCC
rnacentral:tRNA from 1 species